GUUGUUUAGGGCCUCACUAAAUUGCUGAGGCUGGUCUUGAACUUGCAAUCCUCCUACCUCAGCCUCUCCAGUCUCUGGGAUUAUAGGUGUGCACCACCAUACCUGGCUCUGAUAUUGGAGUUUUUUUAAAGAUUAAAAUGUUGAGAGGUACUAAUUGUUGAUAUUAAACUGUAUUGUCUCAGAAAUGGAGUCUAUAAAGAUGACCCAGCACUAGUUGAUUCCUCAAGUUUUGAGCUAAAAUCUGGUCAGUUAUUCUUUAACUGAAAUAACUCUCUAACUGAAAUUUCCUUAUUUAUUUAUAAUUAUUUAUUGAGUAAAGAUCUCCUGAUUCAAAAGAAAUUUAUGACUCUAUGCUACCAUUACUAAAUAAGUGAAUUAAUGCAGAAAAUAGGAAAUUAUCCCAUAGAGGGGUAUGCCAAUUAAACAUGCAAGAAAUAAUAGAAAAUUUCCACUGAUACUAAAAAUGUUCAGUGGGGAGACAGCUAGUCUCAUAGUAUCUCCCCACAAUUUUUACAAAAGAAAAAAAAAAAUCUCAUAAUUGAGGAGACUUGUCUAUCACAAGAUAAUAAUUAUGACCAUUUUCAUUCCCUUGACAAUUAUUUUUUAUUGUACACUUUUUUUUUUUUUAACUUUACCAGUGAGUUUUUAUCACUUAAUGAUCCAGGGUCCCAAGGUAAGAACUACCAUGUACCCAAGUCCUCCUUUACCAUCCUGGGAGAAGGACAGGAGAACCAUGUAGAACCAGUUUAAAUCUUCCCAGGAAAUAUGCCUUCUGCCGCAUGUUCAUCUUUAGAUGAGAUGCAGGAUAUCGAGCAGAGGGACUUACACACAUUCAUACCAGUACCACAUACACACACAGACAUCACUCCCCAUUUGCAGUCAUUGCCUUCUCACAGAGAUGGAAGUUAAGAUAAUCUGACAGCAGUUUCUGAUCUGAUUCCAGCUAUCAAAAGAGACAGUCUUACAGUUCUUGAUUUUCUUCUUCUUCUUUUUUUUUUUGGUUCUAGAAAUUGAACCCAGGGACGCUUAACCACUGAGCUACAUGCCCAGCCCUUUAUGUGUGUGUGUGUAUUUAGAGUCAGGAUCUUGCUGAGUUGCUUAGGACCUCACUAAGUUUCUGAGGCUGGCUUUGAACUCGUGAUCCUCCUGCCUUAGCUUCCACAGUCUGGCAGCAUUACAGGUAUGCACCACCUUGCCUGGCUUGAUUUUGUUCUUGGUGUCUCUUGAUAUGAUGCUGACUCCUAAAGUCGCUCUUUGAGCAGCAUGUGGCUCAGUGUCUAAGCCUUUGAGUUAUUUUCUCAGUGGUUGCCCUUAGGAUUAUAACAUCUUGAUUUACAACUUAAUAAUUAAUAGCAACCCAUGUUAGGGAUGGUGGCACACACCUAUAAUUCCAGCUAAUUAGAAUGCUAAGGCAGGAAAAUUGCAAGUUUGAGGCCAGUCCGGGCAUCUUAGCAAAACCCUAUCUCAAAAAAAUACAAAGGGCUGCUCAGUGGCAGACUGUUGCCUACCAUCAUUAAGCCCUGGGUUCAAUCCCCAGUUCCAUAAAAAAAAAUAAUAACUUAAAGGCAUACAAAAAUUUUACUCAUAUAGCUCUGUUCCCUUUCUGCUGUUAUAUCUGUAUAUCAUAUGCC
rnacentral:lncRNA from 1 species